rnacentral:rRNA from 1 species
GAUGAACGCUGGCGGCGUGCCUAAUACAUGCAAGUCGAGCGAAGCGGGGACGGGGGAGUAACACGUGGAUAACCUCCUUUACCACUGGGUUAACUUCGGGAAACCGGAGCUAAACCGGCUACUUAGGUGUGGCUCCUCGGUGCAUAAGCUGGUUGGUAAGGUAACGGCUCACCAAGGCAACGAUGCAUAGCCGACCUGAGAGGGUGAUCGGCCACACUGGAACUGAGACACGGCCCAGACUCCUACGGGAGGCAGCAGUAGGGAAUCUUCCGCAAUGGGCGAAAGCCUGACCGAGCAACGCCGCGUGAGUGAUGAAGGUCUUCGGAUCGUAAAACUCUGUUAUUAGAGAAGCGGUACCUAAUCAGAAAGCCACGGCUAACUACGUGCCAGCAGCCGCGGUAAUUC